AAACAGAACCAACUUGGGCAAUUUAUUGGUAAUGACAUUCACAAACUUCAAAUAUUAUCAGUUUUUGAGAUCUUUGUCAGUACGAUUGACCAAAAAUAUUUCUCGUUGCUAUUUUAUAUUGCCUUUCUUUGAUUACUAAUGAGGUUGAGCAUCUUUUCCUGUGUCAUUGAUGAUUUUUAUUUCUCGAAUUACCUGUUCAUAUCCGUUGCCCAUUUUUCUAUUGGGACAAUAGUCUUUUUUUUUUCAUUCAUUUAUAAGAACUCUCUACUAAGGAUAUUAAUUGUAACAUAUUUUUACCUGUAAACUUGUUGGAUGUCAGUCAGUUAACCUUACUUACACUUUUCCUUACCAAAGUUGGAAAUCUUUUUGUGGGCAGCUCUUUGGUUCUCUUACCCUUGGUCUAGAACCUGCUGUUCUUGCUCAGCCCUACCUAGCAGCGUCUUGGCAACCUCUCCUUCUGUCUGGCAAGAGUUUCACCAUAUUUCAUUUUUUUCUUUUCUUCUCUUGACACACAUUUGUCUUCUAAGUCUCACUGGAGUUCACAGUUUUUGCAGAUGGGACAAACGCCAAUGUGCCUUUUGUGCUAUUUCCUUCGGAGUCUUUGAACGUUUUUAGGGGUGAGUACACAGACGGUGAGUUUGCUCUCCUUGGACUUGGCUAGACAAGUUCUCCUCAGUAGAUUGGCAGUCAUCAGGGCAAGAUCAGUCACCAGGGCGAGGUCCCAGUAGCAAAGUUCCCAAGUACAAUUAAACCCCAACCUGUGCUCAAAAGCCCUGAGGAGCCCCUCCCCUGCCUUUUACCUUGCCUGGGGAAAAUAGCAUAAUGAACCCUCACUUAGGCGUGAUUGUUUUCAUUCUCCCAAGACUCAAAAGGUGAUGGGUGUUACCUGUCCUUCCUCCCUGUCCUGCUGUCCUUCCCUUUGCCCUUUCAUGACCCGCCCCCCCCCCCCCAGUGCUUAGAUUACAGACUGAGAUUAGAUGUUAUCAGAAAAUGUGGUCAAAUGUGUAGGAGGGGGGGAAAGGCGUCAGAGAUUAGUGUGUGGAAGAAGAGGAAAAGAAUAGUUCACCUUAUUGUUGAUGACAAAAAAUUUUAAGCCUAUACAAUAGUAGAGACAAUAAGAUAAUGAAUGAACCCUAGGGGACUUCUCCCCACCAUCAACAAUUUCACCCUACUGCCAGCUUUGUUUCAUCCUACAUAUUUCUCCACAGUAUUUUGAAACAAAUCCCAAACAUCAUGAAAUGUCAUCCAAUGUAAAUAUUUUGGUAUGUAUCUCUUACCGAUAAAAAAACCCAAGAUUGUUACUGCACACCUAAAUAAAUAUGAACAGUGAGAGGUGACAGUGUUUAAGUGGAUGGAACAUAUACUAAGGAGUAGGAUAAGGAGUAGGAAGAGCUGUAGUUGUUGUUUUUUUAAUUUUUUAAUUCUAAUUUGCCGUGCAAGACCUCAGGCAAGACGGUUAACUUUCCCAUCCCUCAGUAGCUACUUACAAGUAGAAAGAGGAAGUAUUUGCUUCAAAUUCAUAAUAUUGGUCGUAGUUACAGAAGGGUUUUCUUUGCUAACAUAUUUUUUUUAACUUUUGUGUUAAUGUUCAUUUAUUUUUUGAGAGAGAGAGACAGAGCAUGAGUGGGGGAGGAAGAGAGAGAGAGAGGGAGCCCAAGUAACUUUACCUGGCAUUUUCUUUAUCUGUAUAACUAAGGUAGGGACAAGAAGGGGUUAUUUUUCAGAGAAAACUGAGGGCUAAAAUGGUUGAGCCCCUCGGUCUAGGAAGUCAGGGGAAGGCCAGAGUUAGAAGGGGCUCUCGUGUGAGAGACAGCGUCAAGAGAGGACACCCCAGCCCUCUGCUCUGGGUGCACCUUCCUCCCCCGGGAGAACAGGAUGGGUAGGGGCAGCCCUCUGGGGCAUCACGAUGGGCAGCAUGAGUUCACAGUGUUCCUGAGGCAGAGACUCGGGCUGCCCACACCUCCCAUGGCUGGUAGGUUUGGCACAUGAUCAGUAACACUGAUGGGACAGAUAUUUCAACAACCACAACAAUAAAAGAGGGGAAAGAAAUCGAACAGGAGCAACCUUGACAGUUGGUGCCAACGUGAAGCUUGGAGGUCAGAAAAUCCAAACUCCUUUUGCAGUUAAGGAAAUGGAGUCCUAGAGGGAAGAAGGGACAUGGUGAGCCAGGCCUGACAAGGCCUCCUCACUGAGUCUCUUCCUUCCUCAGCUGAUUCUCUCUGGAUCGACAGAAGUGAUUUGAAGCCACAGAGAAGGAUGGGAGGGGAUCUUCCCGAAGUGGAAAUACCAUGUAAGACACAGCAAGAAGGCAGUCCCAUCUGCAAGCCAGGAAGAAAUCCCACCGUGGUGACACCCUGAUCUUAGACAUUCAGUCUCCGGAACUGCGAGAAAAAGCAUUUCUGCUUUUUAAGCCACUGGGCCUGUGGUGUUUUGAUAUGGUGGCCUGAGCUGAUAUAUUACGUAUCCUGAGAGAAAAAUCUCAGUCAGAAAAACAAACGAAAUGAUCAGCAACCAAGAACAUUCAACUGGAAUUACAGGCCAGGUGUUGUACAAAACAAGUUCCAAAGAGCAGGACGCGGGUAACCAGAGGGCC